rnacentral:rRNA from 1 species
CCCUUAGAUGUUCUGGGCUGCACGCGCGCUACACUGACGCACGCAACAGGUGCCUGCUCCGAGAGGACUGGGUAAUCAUUUGAGUGUGCGUCGUGAUGGGGAUAGAAUAUUGUAAUUAUUACUCUUCAACGAGGAAUUCCUAGUAAGCGCCAGUCAGCAGCUUGCGCUGAUUACGUCCCUGCCCUUUGUACACACCGCCCGUCGCUCCUACCGAUGGGUGAUCCGGUGAAUGAUUCGGACUUCAGCGGCUCCCCUGGGGUGCGCCGGAGAAAGUUUUGUGAACCUUAUCACGUGGAGGAAGGAGAAGUCGUAACA